UAUGCACGCUGGCGGCGUGCCUAAUACAUGCAAGUCGAGCGAACAGAUAAGGAGCUUGCUCCUUUGACGUUAGCGGCGGACGGGUGAGUAACACGUGGGUAACCUACCUAUAAGACUGGAAUAACUCCGGGAAACCGGGGCUAAUGCCGGAUAACAUUUAGAACCGCAUGGUUCUAAAGUGAAAGAUGGUUUUGCUAUCACUUAUAGAUGGACCCGCGCCGUAUUAGCUAGUUGGUAAGGUAACGGCUUACCAAGGCAACGAUACGUAGCCGACCUGAGAGGGUGAGCGGCCACACUGGAACUGAGACACGGUCCAGACUCCUACGGGAGGCAGCAGUAGGGAAUCUUCCGCAAUGGGCGAAAGCCUGACGGAGCAACGCCGCGUGAGUGAUGAAGGUCUUCGGAUCGUAAAACUCUGUUAUUAGGGAAGAACAAAUGUGUAAGUAACUGUGCACGUCUUGACGGUACCUAAUCAGAAAGCCACGGCUAACUACGUG
rnacentral:rRNA from 1 species